rnacentral:tRNA from 1 species
GGUAGUCGUAUCCGGUGGUACGGCCGGGCUUCAAACCCGGUUGGGGGUGUCAGACACUCCCGGGUCGGUUCGACUCCGGCCGCCUUCCGCCA